AAUCAACGCUGGCGGCGUGCCUAACACAUGCAAGUCGAACGCGAAAGCCCCGCAAGGGGUAAGUAGAGUGGCAAACGGGUGAGUAACACGUGGGCGACCUGCCUUCGAGUGGGGAUAACGUCCCGAAAGGGACGCUAAUAUCGCAUGACAUCCUGCUUUUUAAGAGGCGGAGAUCAAAGCCGGGGAUCGCAAGACCUGGCGCUUGAAGAGGGGCCCGCGCCUGAUUAGCUAGUUGGGGGGUAACGGCUCACCAAGGCAUCGAUCAGUAUCCGGCCUGAGAGGGCGGACGGACACACUGGGACUGAGACACGGCCCAGACUCCUACGGGAGGCAGCAGGUGGGGAAUUGUUCGCAAUGGGCGCAAGCCUGACG
rnacentral:rRNA from 1 species